rnacentral:rRNA from 1 species
AGAUUGAACGCUGGCGGCAUGCCUUACACAUGCAAGUCGAACGGCAGCACGGGAGCAAUCCUGGUGGCGAGUGGCGAACGGGUGAGUAAUACGUCGGAACGUGCCCAAUCGUGGGGGAUAACGCAGCGAAAGCUGUGCUAAUACCGCAUAAGAUCUACGGAUGAAAGCAGGGGAUCGCAAGACCUUGCGCGAAUGGAGCGGCCGAUGGCAGAUUAGGUAGUUGGUGAGGUAAAGGCUCACCAAGCCUUCGAUCUGUAGCUGGUCUGAGAGGACGACCAGCCACACUGGGACUGAGACACGGCCCAGACUCCUACGGGAGGCAGCGAGUGGGGAAUAGUUGGACAAGUGGGCGAAAGCCUGACUCCAGCAAUGCCGCGUGAGUGAGUGAAGGUCGUUAGGUUAGUAAACGCUUCGUUUACCGG